GUGUAAAAAAUCGGGAAGACACAUUUAUUUCCCUUCCAAAAUAGAAACCAGCUGCCCCAAUCCCCUUCAAAGUAGGACCCAUCGCCACUCAUAUCCAUCUCGAUUCACCGGCGCAUUACACCAUCUUCGGCGAAGAAGCCACCGUACAAGAGGUUGAUUGGAGCGAUACCCAUUUCGAUUUUCCCAGUGGUUUGAAGAAAUGGAGUUACUUGGCUAUGGAAAUGAAGAUUGUACCUUAACACAUUCACUUGCAAAUCUCUGCUCGUCAUUUCAAGCCGGCACCGGGUAAAAUCUCUGUCCAGUUUGCUUAACUUGCUUAAAAUUUGGGUAUUGACUUUUUAUUGUUUGAAUUAAAUAUGAAUUAAAUGAAUAUCUAAUGGGUUGGGAAAAUGUAUGAUGUGUCUUGAUGUAGAAGACUGUUGGUGCGAAUAUGAUGCAUUUUGUUUUGAUUUUAUUUCAAUCACUGUACUUAUUGGAAAUUCCUAUCUGUUGUCUAAACCUUUCCCUUUCUGAUUUUCUGCUAAAAUGGCUUUAUUUAGCUCUCUAUCAUGCUUCAUUAGUCUUCAGAGAAAUUGAAAAAGUGCAGAUUCGUAUGUAUUUAAGGGAAAAAAUGGGGAAAUAAAUUGAGCUCUUUGUGUAUAUGCGUGCGCAUUGCAUUUUUCUUUAUAUUUCAUUCUCUACAACAACGUGAUUGUGUGGUAUCAUUAUAUAGAUGUUCAGUUAAUCAAUUGGGCUAAAAAUGCAAUUUAAUUUAACAAAGCAGAAAUGUUAUUAUACCAAUUUAUUUGUGGUAGCCAUGUUAAACGAAAAUGUUGUAAUUGGAUGAUACCUUACUUCUUAUUCAUGUAAAGAAAACUUCAUCCUAAAUAUGUUAUAAUUUCUAUGGCAGGAAAGAAAAUUAUGGAAGAUGAGAAUCCUGAUUUGUUGCUACAAUGUGAUAAUGAGAAUGCUGUGGAGAAUUUGAAUAUGUUAGACAACGAAGAUGUGGGAGGAGAUGUGGAGUCAGUGCCUAAGGUGGGCAUGACGUUUAGUGAUAAGAAGGAAAUGUUUGACUUUUACAAAAGAUAUGCUUAUGACGUAGAGUUUUCGAUGUGAAAAAGGAAUUCAAAAAAGGGAGAAGAUGGAGUUAUGAGAUACGUUAUGUUCACAUGUGGUGGGAAGGUCGACAAACUUAUACUACAGGCAGUUCCUUGAAACCGCAUCAACAAGUCAAACUAAUUGUAAAGCAAGAAUAUCUGCAUCUUUAGAUAGUCUGGGAAUAUGAAAGAUUAACAAAGUGUACCUUGACCACAAUUACAAAACAAGUUCGUCCAAGUCUAGGUUGUACUGAUGCAACCGAAAAUUAAGUACGAGUGUGAAACAAAAGCUCAAAGUGAAUGAUAUGGCAAGAAUUCCAUUGCAUAAGAGUUAUAACUCGACAGUUGUCGAAGCUGGUGGAUAUGAAAAUACGACUUUUGUGGAGAAAGAUUGUCGAAACUACAUUGAACAGGGGAGAGGUUUAUGCCUUGGGGAAGGAGAUACGCUCGCAAUACAGGCGUAUUUUUCAAAGAUGCAAGCACGGUGCUCUGAUUUUUACUUUAGUAUAGACUUGGACGAUGAAGGUAGACUCAAGAAUAUUUUUUGGGUAGACGACAGAUGUAGGCAAUCUUACAAGGAGUUUGGUGAUGUUGUCACCUUUGAUAUUCCCUAUCUUACUAAUAAGUACGACAUGUCGUUUGGCCUUUUUGUUGGCCUGAAUCACCAUGGACGAUCUACAUUGCUCGCCUGUGGAUUGUUAUCGAAUGAAGACACAGGGACUUUCGUGUGGUUGUUCAGAACAUGACUUGAGUGUAUGCACGGUCAAGCUCCUACUAGAAUCAUUACUGAUCAAGAUCGGACGAUGCAAAAUGCCAUUGAGAUUGUUUUUCCGAACAUGAGGCAUAGGUGGUGUUUGUGGCACAUUAUGAAAAAAUUACCAGAAAAAUUUGGAUACCAUAUUCGGAAGAGCUCGAUAUUUUCUGCUAUAUAUGGACUAGUAUACGAUUCUAAGGAUGUGCAACAAUUUGAAGAUGGUUGGAGGUUGAUGCUCGAUAUAUAUGAGUUGUAUGACAGUAACUGGCUAUCAGGAUUAUACUAGAACAGAGGUCGUUUGGAUGCCUUAUUUUUUGAAAACCAUGUUUUGGGUAGGCAUGUCGACGACACAGCUAAGCGACAGUAUGAAUGUAUUCUUCGAUGGGUAUGUGCAUUCAAAAACCUCAUUGAAGCAGUUUGUCGAGCAGUAUGAAAGAGCACUAAAAAAUAAGGUCGAGAAGGAGUUUCAGGAAGAUUUCAAGUUGUACUUUCAAAUGGUACCGUGUGCGACAACUUUCGUAAUGGAAAAGAAAUUUCAAGCAAUUUAUACCAUUUCAAAGUUCAAAGAAGUUCAGGAAGAGUUCACUGGAAAUGUGUAUUGCGAUGUCGUCUCCGAAAAUGUGAGUGACUAUUACUGGUUGGCCUACGAGAUCCGUGAGGAGAUCAUUGUUCACUUAUGAAAUGACAACUUCAGUUUCUCACUUAGGGAGACCAUUUUUUGAGGUUUGAUUACUUCAUUUUGCAGGCAGUUCGGAAGUUACGAAGAAGUGAAGGUGCCAAUUCAAAGAAAAUGAAGGUUGCUACAGAAUGCUAUUUCAUCAAGAUGUCAAGCUAUAUGUAUUUUGCUAAUUUGAUACUGUGUACCAAAUAGGAAGUUGGUAAUUUGCUAAUGUGUUGUAUGGUCCCACCAGUUUAGGUGGCCAAAUUCUCAUCAUGUCAAUGUGAUUUGAAAUAUUCUUGGUAUUCUGCUCAAGAAAAUGAC
rnacentral:lncRNA from 1 species